rnacentral:rRNA from 1 species
CCUACGGGCGGCAGCAGUGAGGAAUAUUGGUCAAUGGACGAGAGUCUGAACCAACCAAGUAGCGUGAAGGAUGACUGCCCUAUGGGUUGUAAACUUCUUUUAUAUGGGAAUAAAAUGUUCCACGUGUGGGAUUUUGUAUGUACCAUAUGAAUAAGGAUCGGCUAACUCCGUGCCAGCAGCCGCGGUAAUACGGAGGAUCCGAGCGUUAUCCGGAUUUAUUGGGUUUAAAGGGAGCGUAGGUGGAUUGUUAAGUCAGUUGUGAAAGUUUGCGGCUCAACCGUAAAAUUGCAGUUGAAACUGGCAGUCUUGAGUACAGUAGAGGUGGGCGGAAUUCGUGGUGUAGCGGUGAAAUGCUUAGAUAUCACGAAGAACUCCGAUUGCGAAGGCAGUUCACUGGACUGCAACUGACACUGAGGCUCGAAAGUGUGGGUAUCAAACAGGAUUAGAUACCCGUGUAGUC